rnacentral:rRNA from 1 species
UACGUAGGGGGCGAGCGUUGUCCGGAUUUAUUGGGCGUAAAGAGCGUGUAGGCGGCUUGGUAGGUCCGCUGUGAAAACUCGAGGCUCAACCUCGAGAUGUCGGCGGAAACCACUUGGCUAGAGUCCGGAAGAGGAGAGUGGAAUUCCCGGUGUAGCGGUGAAAUGCGCAGAUAUCGGGAGGAACACCGGUGGCGAAGGCGGAUCUCUGGGCCUUACCUGACGCUGAGGCGCGAAAGCAUGGGGAGCGAACAGG